rnacentral:rRNA from 1 species
AACGAACGCUGGCGGCAUGCCUAAGACAUGCAAGUCGAACGAGAUCUUCGGGUCUAGUGGCGCACGGGUGCGUAACGCGUGGGAAUCUGCCCUUUGGUUCGGAAUGACAGUUGGAAACGACUGCUAAUACCGGAUGAUGACGAAAGUCCAAAGAUUUAUCGCCAGAGGAUGAGCCCGCGUAGGAUUAGCUAGUUGGUGUGGUAAAGGCGCACCAAGGCGACGAUCCUUAGCUGGUCUGAGAGGAUGAUCAGCCACACUGGGACUGAGACACGGCCCAGACUCCUACGGGAGGCAGCAGUGGGGAAUAUUGGACAAUGGGCGAAAGCCUGAUCCAGCAAUGCCGCGUGAGUGAUGAAGGCCUUAGGGUUGUAAAGCUCUUUUACCCGGGAUGAUAAUGACAGUACCGGGAGAAUAAGCUCCGGCUAACUCCGUGCCAGCCGCCGCAGUAAAAC